rnacentral:lncRNA from 1 species
CUUGUGUCGGCCGACGCCGAGGGCGAGGUGGGGAGCUGGGCACGGUGGGUAGUGAUUAAGUCUAACAAAGGUGGUUUGAUCUUUGAAGAAGCCAUUGAAACUGUCUGGUGGGAGUCCCAGACUCAGGGCUAUAAGUUCCAUCAACUUGUAAGCAAGUUUUUCCACUUCUUUAGCAUACUCUUCACAUGCCUCUCUGUCAAGCAUAUGCCAAAAGUAAAUAAAUAAAUGAAUACUAUAAUUGCUACAUUAAAUUUUGCAUUAAUCAGAGCAUGCUUGGCUCCAAAAUAUUAUUACGAGCUUUCAAAUUGACCAACAACCAAUUAAAAUUAUUUGAGUGGUACUCAACACUACUCAACUGCUUAUGGUAGUUUAUUUUGCCGACAAAUACCUCUUAUGGACUAUAUAUUGUGACUAUCCUCCACCAUGAGAAAAUUCAGGUCACCAAUUUAGAUUUUCUUAACUUUGAAGCUUAUUAAAUUCGAUAGCACAAAGACACUAAUUAAAAUGCCCAUUAGGUGUUUUAAAAAAAGUACAAACUCUCUUUCGAUUGACUUGCAUAUUAAAGGAUCAGAAUUCUCUUUUAAAUUUAGAAUUCUCUCCAAGUCAUAGUACUCAAGUAUUAAAAUUAAUUUCACCAUCACAAUGUAAGAAAUGAACUUUACCUGAAUUCAGGAGGAUAAUCAGGCCACUGAUUGUACGUCUCAGCUAUUUCCUUGUCCUCAGGAUCAGGUGAAGUUGGCAUCAAACAAGGGCUCUCCACGACAAAAUCAAACACUUCUUUCCAAUCUCUAACAUUUUUGGUAUGCUCGGUGUCAUAAUACCCCACCACCUUCUUCUCAUCUCUCCUCACCUUCCUCUUCUCCUCCAACGGCUGCUCGAAAAACUUCCUCGCCAUAUUUUCUAUGCUCCGGCGCUUAUCCGUGGGCACGCCGUGGUUGAUCACCUGAAAAAACCCCCAGUUCUUGCAUGCAUUGCCUAUUUCCACAACCAGGUCACGAAUGGUACUGUCAGGGUUUUUAAUACUGGUGUUGGUGGCGCUCAAAGCUGAGAGAUCAAUUAAGGGUAUGCCUUCGGCUUCGGUUACGGAGAGUUUAGGCCUGUGCUCAAGGGCUUGAACGAAAGCUUCAUCAACUUCUCCCAUGGCUGGCCAGCUGCAGGUGAUUGAUUCACUACUGAUGAGGUAAAAGUGGUUCUUGAUAUUUAUUUAUGGGGGUGAAGAUAUGGAGAUAACAUAAGAUUGAAUCUAGACUGGAUUUGGGGCAGGUGAGGGAUUGGAGGAUAUAUGUGACGUUUGUGCUUGCAUUGCAUUGCCUGAAUAAUGUGUCCAAGAAAAAAAAAAACGUCAAAAUAUGUAUAAUAUAUGGAAUCUGGAAAACAUUAACAAUUCAAUUUGGAUACGAUACCAUUGACACGUCAGCUCGUUUGCAAUUUAUUUAUGGAAAAUGAUAAACGAGCUCAAAGAAGACAAAAGGACGACAGAAAUGCAGCGUUCAAUUGCCGUUUCACGCGUUGAGUUCUGUUUCUUUUAAUCUUGCGUGGACCCACAAGAAAAAUUAAAAUAAAGAAAAAAGGAAUGGAAAGUUGGUCAUUUCUCCCCCGCCCCAACCACUUAUUUUUCUUUGCUUAGUUUACUCCCCCUCCACUCAUUUUACUCCCCCUCCAUUUGCUUCGUUACCGGACUCUCCCUGGACGACAGCCGCUUCUUGUUCUCGCUGAGCCCCUUCUUUUUUUUUUUUUCUCGCCCAGCCCCAUUUGCUUCGUUACCGGACGACGUCCACUUCUUGUUACCGGAGAUGCAAAUGCAAAGAGGGAACUGAUUUUCCUUCCUAAAUGCAGAUAGCUCACGUUGAGUAAAUGAGAGGUGAGAGAUGGAGAGAGAGGGGACAACAAGAAAAAUUAAUUGUAAAAAAGUCAUCUCUUUCGUUACUUUUGUUUCUUUCUUUUGAUUAUUUUAUUUUUUAAAUCAAAAAAGUAACAGACAAAGAGAGAUGGUGACUGCAGAUGAAGUAACAGACAAAGGGACCCACCCACGUUUCUGUCGUCCCUUUGUCGUCGCAGAAUUCCAAUAGCAGAACUCUUUAUUUAUUUAUUUGCAUUCUUUUUUGUUGCUUGCCCCUCUCUCUCUCUUUCUCUAAUCUAAAAUUUGAAUGCGUCUAAAAUUCUAGGAUCCAAAUAUAUAAAGUUAACUUCUGAAUAUAGUAGAGUUCAUGAAACGCUAAUUUUUACAUUAAAAUAUAGAAUAUUGUCAUUUUACCACCCACUAUUAUAUAUUUAUAUUAUAAUUUAAUUACUUAAUGUCUUCUAACAUAUCACUUUAUCAUCAAAGUUUUUUUAUAAUUAAUUUUUUAUUUUAUGUUUCAAUUUUAUCAUUUUACUACAAAACCGCUAAAAUUAAUAAAAUUUUUGACAAAAUUUAUAAUAAAAGUUUAUUUUAUCCACAAACUAUGUAAAUGUAAUUCAACUCUCUAAAUUAAAAAAAAAUUAAUUAUAUACAAAGAAAUUAUACUUUUAUCAAUUGAUUAUUUUAUACAUUUAAAAUAAUUAGUUGAUAAAGUUAUAAAUACUGAACUUUGUAAAAUUCUUAAAAUAUUGAAUAUAAUGAAAUUCCUAAUAUAUUCUUGUGACACUAGUAAUUUAUUAAUGAAUUUAACAAUUUAGUGGAAAAAUGAUAAAAAUUGAAACAUCAAGUGAGAUGAGUAAUUGUCAAAAACCAAUUAAGUAGUAAGAUGAUAAUAUUCCUAAAAAAAUUAGUUUUAUUCCGUAUAAUGUACAUACACAUGCGUACAUACAUAUAUACAUACAUAUAUACAUACAUACUAUUUGUUGAUGGAGACUGUUAAUUCCUUUAGCUGUUUUGCGAUGGAUUUGAAGGUCUCAACAUUAAAGCUUCUUGAAAUUUCUGAGCUUUCUCAUAUGUAGUGACAAAUUUUGGCCAGCCUACUAGGAUUUUUCCUCAUUUAUUUUAGAGAUUAAAGCUAUUAAAACAAACAAUUUAUUGUGGGAAUUCUUUUAUACAGAUGCUUAAUUAUUUUAUUGGUUUAUUAAAGGGACCUCAAACAGAGAGGAGAUAUUAAAUGUGAAAUUAUGAUGCAUAUUUGACGAAAUGACAAGUGUUUUAAUUUUUAUUCAAUUAUUUUGUCAUCUCACUUUAAUUUUUGUUCAGCUAAAUCAAAGAGUUGAGGGUGUGCCUUUUAAAAGGUGCCCAGAUUCACUUUCAAAAAGUUCCACUACUAUUUUUUCAUAUAUGUUCUUGAAUCUAUUUCUAUAAAAAUAGCAGAAACACUAUUUAAAGCUAAUUUACUCUUAUAAAGUGACCUUUAGACUUCAAUAUUAAAAGAGUAAUCCGUCAUUUUAAUUGAAUAUGAGACUAAUUUUAUUAAUUAUAUAUAUUUUGUUUAGAAUAAUAUUUUUUGAUGUUGCAUUACUUAAUAUACGUAUUUUUUUUUUUAUAUGCACUCACUUUCAUAAAAAUGUAUGCAAUAAAUUUAUAAUUUAACCCCAUGCUAUCAAAGAUCCUGAGUCCAUAAAGUUCCUCUGUUACAUCAAAAUGAUGUAAAUUACUUGCUUCACGUUCAUCUUAAUUUCAUCAUUGAAUCCUUUAUCUGAACAUAUGUAAUUAAUAAGUUAUAAAGACAAGUAUUCACCACAGCGUAUUAGCAAGAAUCAUUGAAUUGGUUUCCCAGAAGCAGAGGAGUCAUCCAAUUCAAAAAUCAAUAUUCAUCCACCAGAACAUUAAUAAUGCAUCCCAAAAAAAAAAGGUCACAAUAUGCAUCAUGUAUGGAGUCUGGAAAACAUUAAUAAUUCAAUUUGGACACGAUACCAUUUACACGUCAGCUUGUUUUUAAUUAAUUUAUUUAUUUACAUUCUUUUUUAUUGCAUGUCCUUUUUUUUCCUCUAGUCUAAAGUUCGAAAGCAUCUAAAUUCUAAACGGAUCCAAAUAUAUAAAAAUUUAACUUGUGAAUAUAGUAGAGUUCAAAUGAAACUCUAAUUUUUAUUUUUUUAAAUAGAAAUAUGGGAUAUUAUCUUUUUACCACCUAUUAUUAUGUUAUCAUUUUAUCCGCUAAUGUUUUUUGUUAUAUCACUUUACCAUCAAAGUUUUCUAAUAUUUAAUUUUUCCCACUUAAUGUUUCAAUUUUAUCAUUUUACUACUAAACCGUUAAAGCUAAUAAAUUUUUUUAUUACAAAAGUUUAUUUUAUCCCUAAACUGUAUAAGUGUAAUUUAACCUUCUAAAUUAAAAAAAUACAAAAUUAAUUAUAUACAAAGAAAUUUUACUUUAAUCAAAUGAUUAUUUUAUACAUUCAAGAUAAUUAAUUGAUAAAAUUAUAAAUGUAUAAUAUAACUUGUAAAAUUCUUAAAGUAUUGAAUAUCUUGAAAUUCCUAAAAUAUUCUUGUACCGUCAGAAAUAUAUUAAUGGAAUGUGAAAAUAUUGAGCCAAAGUCUCUUUUAGCAGUUUAUCUACAAUGCAAAAAGAAGUUGUUGCUUGUGAGAUGAGUGAUUUGGCUUGUUUCCUAGUGUUUUUGGAAGAAAUGAUGCUUUGAUGCUUAGACAAAACAAAAGCUUCUUUUAGCUCGCAUGGAAAUUCUUAUACAAAUGAUCGGCAUUGUAUUAAAUGAUUUAUUCCAUAAAUAUUAUAAUCCUAAAAAGUACAAUGGCCUAAUUAUAUUCUAAGAGUUGCAUAUUAAAAUGAGCAUAAGGAGGGAUCGAGUUUGUGUGAUAUGGCACUAUUCACAUUAGCUUUUUUGUUUUGAGUUUCUUUAAUUAAAAUAAUAAAAAUGAAUAAAAAUACAUAAUACUAAAUAAAAUUAAAAACUUAAAUAUGUCGCGGCUAGUGCUAAUGAACUGUCAGCGACAGUUCAACGGCUACCGACUACCUGUGGCCACCACAUAACAUCGUGUUUUACACAAAAAUUUGGUAAUAUUAGAAUUUUUAUUGUCGAGACCCACUAUGGUGCAAUUAUUAUUAGUAGAAAAGCUUCCAUUCGACGUAAAUUUACAAUAUAAUAAAAAAAAACCGAGACUUUGAAUAUAGAUCUAUGGCAAAUGAAAAUUUCCUUUUAAGUAAUAAUUGCACCAUUGCGAGUCCCAAUAAUAAGAAUUUUAAUGAUACCAAAAUAUAGUUCAAAUAACACUAAAGUAUGGCCCAUAGCAGCCGGCCACAGUUUAUGGUGACUGGCAGUGAAAAUUGUUUAUUUUAAUUAUAUAAAUUUAAAUUAUUAUUCAAUAUAAAUAGUAAUAAAAUAAAAAUGAAUCGUAAAAUUUUAAUUGAACAACAAUAUUAAAUUAAAAUAAAAUUUAUUAUUUUAAGUAAUAUAAUCCGUACUACACUAAGUAUAAUAUUACAUUACAGAUUAAUAUAAUACAAUGUAAUACAAUGCAAAACACACCCCUUACAUUAAAAACAUGUGUAUUAGAAAAAUAAAAUUAAAAAUUAAGAUUAAUAAUUGGGCCUUGAACUGCGAUCCAAUUUUUUAAUACAAGCACGGGCCUGCAAAAUUAGAACCCUAGCUGGCCCUUCGACCAUCUGGUUGAGCCCAAUGUUUUUUUUUUUUUUUUUUUUUAACUCCUUAAUUAAGACCUAGGUAAUUCAGUACAUAACCACUCGGGCAGCAGCCCGAGUGGCCAGGGCUGCUGCCCUCCAACUUAGAGGGCAGCAGUUCGAACCCCCACAAAAGUAUUGUGGGGGUAUUUUCUUCCUCAAUUAAUUUGAGUGAAGGUAGUCUUCUCCCUUACCCAUGAGUGAGGAGUAGACAUCCCUCGAAUAUUUGUGAGGGUUAAAAUCUGGGCAGAGCUCCAGCAUUGAUGUCAGUUGGUCCCAGUAAUAGUCUGAUUUGUAAAUAUCAGUAAUAAUCUCAUGUAUAUGAGUUGUAAUCUGAGCAAUAGUCUCAUGUAAUAAAAAGAAAAAAGGUAAUUCAGUACAUGAAAAAAUUGACAUUAAGUAAAAAUUUAAUUGAUGCGUGACCCGUUGUUUUUUUUGAUAUUAAUCACGAGGUAUCCUGGGGAGGGCCCCAACUGUGGGAGGCACCUUUAAGCCCGUACCACAACCCAGACUAGAAGUCCCCGCUCGAACCGGGAGGCACAGGUUCUCCCAACAAAGGCGACUUCCCUGCGACUCGAACUGGGGAGCAAACACAGUCAAGCCACUUAAGGGGACUCCAUUGCCAGUGGAGCCAACACUUUGUUGGUGCGUGACCCGUUGUUUACUAGUUCAGCAAGUGGUUGAUUUGUCGUAAAUAUCUAUAAAAAUUAUAGGAUGUGUCGUUUUUAUUACCGGAACAUGGAUGAAGACAUAUGAGCACCAGAUAUAUUGUAUUAGCAAGAAUCAUGGGAUUGAUUUCCCAAAACUAGAGGAACUAUCCAACCCAAAAAAACAAUAUUAAUUCAACAACUAGCAGAUGGCAUUAUUGCAAAUUCCAUUAUUUCCAUCGCAUAAUAUAUUCACAGAUAGGUUGAUCAAUUCAAAGAUGAAACACACUACAUAAGUACAUAUGUAAUUUCGCUAACUAAAAAGCAAAUUAAAAUUAAUUACUUCUUGUUAAUAGAGAGUGCUCCAUCCAACUCGUUAGCUAACUCUUGUACCUUGAAAUGAGAAAUUUGAAUGUUCUCAACAUCAAGCUUUUUGAAAUUACUUUGCCUUCUAGUGGCUAAAAAUUUUCCCAAAUUGUAUGCUCUGUAUUUAGCAGGAUUUUGCUCAUUCGUAAGCUCGCCUAAUGGUUUCACCAUUGUGCAAUGUGGUGGGCUGAAGAAAAAUGGAAUUGAAAAUCUUUCCUUCUCAGAAUUCACCGUAACCCUAUGCUCUACACUCUCAUAAACAUCAUUGCUCCAUACCUGCACAAUUACGUAGAUUCUAUUGGCAUUAAAAAAAAAACGAGUAUCGAAUACGAAAUUUUGAUUUUUGACACCAUAUUACUAAUUAUUAACCGUUUGAACAAAAAACUUAAGCUAGCUAUUACGAAUUACCUGAAGAAUGUCACCAACAUUUAUGAUAUAAGCAUCCGAGGUGGGUUUGAUGCGAACCCACUCUCCAUCUGAUUUUCUCUUCACCUCAAGACCGCCAACAUCAUCUUGAGCAAGGAUGGUAAGGGCACCGACGUCCUUGUGUCGACCCACACCUAGAGCUAGGUGAGGAGCUGGGCAUGGCGGAUAGUGAUUAAGUCUAACAGAUCUGGUUGGAUCUUCGAAGAAGCUACUGAACCUGCUUGCUGGGAGUCCCAGGCUUAGGGCUAUAAGUUCCAUCAACUUGUAAGCAAGUUUUUCCACUUCUCUAGCAUAUUCUUCACAUGACUCUCUGUCAAGCAUACCAAAGAUAAAUUCAUAACUAAAGUCCUAUCAUUGAAUCUUUUCUUGCAAAAUUAAACUUUUGCAUUAAUCAAAGUAUAUACGGUGGCUCCAAAAGAUUACAAGUUCUCAUACUGACCAACAACCAAUUAUAACCAUUUGAGUGGUAUUUAACACGUACGAAUCAGCUUCUUAUGGUUGUUUACCUUGUCAAUGAGUACCUCUUAUGGACUAUAUUGUGAGUUCUCUCCAACCAUGUGAAAAUUCACGUCACCAAUUUAGAUUUGCUAAUUACUCUCAAGCUUAUUAAAUUCGAUAACACAAAGAUAGUAAUCAAAAUGUCAAUUAGAUGGCUAAAAAAGGAAAAACUCUUUUAGAUGCUUGUACUAAAGGAUUAGAAUAUUUAUCUCUUGAUUUGAGAUCUCUUGAACCUUUAAGAACUUGUACUAAAAAGAAAAAAUAUAAAUGAAAAACAUAUUGUUCCGAAAAAUAAUGAUAAAGAAACAAAUGAAAACGAUAUAAUUAUUUAUUCAAAUGAAAUAGGUCCACUAUAUUGCAAUGAUCAAAUUAUCGUUAAGUACUCAAACUUCACCAUCACAAUAUAAGAGUUAACUUUACCUUAAUUCAGGAGGAUAAUCAGGCCAUUGAUUGAACGUCUCAGGAACUUCCUUGUCCUCAGGCUCAUGUGAAGCUGCCAUCAAAAUACGCUUAUCUGCAACAAAAUCAAAUACUUCUUUCCAGUCUCUAACAUUUUUGGUAUGCUCGUUGUCAUAGUACCCCACCGCCUUCUUCUCAUCUUUCCUCACCUUCCUUUUCUCCUCCAAUGGCUGCGCGAAGAAUUUUCUCAUAGCAUCUUCUACUUUCUGCCUCUUUUCUAAUGGCGCUCCAUGGUUGAUCACUUGGAAAAAACCCCAUUUCUUGCAUGCAUUACCUAUCUCCACCACAAGGUCAUCAAUGUUUUUGGUGUUGGCGUCAUUAGGAAAGCUCAAAGGUGAGAGAUCGAUCAAGGGUAUGCCUUCAUCUUCAGUGACUGAGAGUUUAGGCCUGUGUUCUAUGGCUUGAACGAAAGCUUCAUCAGCUUCUCCCAUGGCUAUAGCUAAGAAACAAUGUAUUAAAUUCUAAUGUAUAGUUUGAUAUAAAAGAGAGUAAUUGAGGCAGUUUAUUUAUAGUGGGCUAAAGGCUCUUUCAGCCUAGAGGACUUUUGAGCUAAUUAUGUAGUAAGUCUCUAUAUCUUUGAUAAUUACCCAGCAGUUAAUAAAAUUUACAUAAUUUUUUUUUAAUUUUUUAAUCUAUUGCAUGUUAGACUUAUUUUAAUUUUAAAUUAUAUUAAAAAAUAAUAUAAUUUUAUCUUUGAAAAAUUAGUAGCAACCAUUGUAGAAUUACCCAUAAAGCCGCAUUGUGUAAUUUUAAAAAAUACAGAUACUAAAAGUAUAAUUGACCCAAACCCUAAGUGGUAAAGGAAAAUUUACUGUAACCAUGCAAGAUAGGGAGUUAACAACAUAACAUUGAAUCUGGAUGGGAUUUUCGGGCAGGGAAGAGUUGGAAAAUUGUGUGACGUUUGUGCUUGCGUGGUUAAUUUUGUCUGAAGCGUCACAAAAUGGAUCAUAUAAUAAUAGCAGCGAAAGAAUCAAUGAUUCACUUAGUGGACAAGAGACAUACAUAGCCAAAGCACCAAGCAGGGUUUAAGGGACGAUUAUUUCACCGUGAUUAAUUAAUAAUUAAGUAAUUUUCACACCUAGUGAUAGAUUCGGUGUGUUUGAGGACUUUUCGUUGGUAAUCAGUUGAAAUUUAGUGCAGCAAAUAUUCUUGACAGCUGUACGUACUAAUAAUGGUUGAGCACACACUAUGAAAAUAUUGAGUGCUCGCGAAUGCCACUUCAUGUUUUACCUUUUUAAUUAAAGUUCCUGACUAGAGUUCCAUGCUUCUUUAAUUUGCUUAACACAUAGUAUAAUAGUUUCUUGAUCAACCAUCUAAGUGAUUUUGUCUAAGGGUGAAAUGCUUUAAAAUGAAGUGAGGAGGUGCUCAACACUCAGUCAACGAGUGAUUUGUUAGUUUGGUAUUAACUAUUAAGUUGGAAGAUAGAAAAGAAGAGAAAAUAAAUAUUUGUCUAUUGACGUAUGACAUGUCAUUUACAACUUCAUCACAUAGUAAACCUAUGGUAAAUAUUAAUAAGUAGCAUGAUAUGUCGUUUUUGUUUUCAGAACAUGGAUGACAUUGUGUAUGUAUUUUACUUUGAAUUAAAAAAUGUAUGACAUCUAGUUUAUAAAUUAAUCAAAUAUAUGACUUUUUGUUUAUAUUUUGAGCACAUAAAUGACAUUACAUACAUAUUUCACCCCUGAGUAUAAGCGUACGACAUGUCAUUUAUAAUUUAAUUAAAUUAUUAUAAGGCAUUGCGGUGGCUAAUUAAAUAAGUUAUUUUUCUGCUGUGCGGAUAAAAUAAGUUGUUGAGUAAAAAAAAAGUUUAUUGUUUAGUAAACUGUGUUGUUAGAAUUGUUGUAAGCUUAAAAAGUAGUGUAUAUGUGUUUGGUAAUAUUGUUUUAUUAUAUAAUAACUAAAAAUAUAUAAAUUUAAAUUACCUUUUAUUUUUUAGAGUAUGUUUAGUGAUAUUUAGACAUACAUUUUUCUUUUAAAACACGUAAAAUUAUAUAAAGUGAAAAAAUCAAUUAAAUAAAAAUAUAAUGAACUUUAUAAAAUGAUAAAAAAUUUAUACUAGUACAUAAUUCAAAUAAAAUGAAGUAAUAUGCAUUACAUUCACAUUAAACUUUUUACAAUAAACACCUUGGUUAUCGAAAAAAUAUAAAUAUAUUGAACGUUAAAAGUCAUGGUUAUGAAAUUGCAAUUUCAAAAGUUAUCUUUAGCCUUUAUGUGAAAUUGUUCAUAGUUCAAAGAAAAUUUACAUAAUCAUAUGCAAAUCUUAUUGAUUCUUAUAAUAGAAAAAUAAAAGUAUAAUAAAAAAUAUGAAUUUAUAGGAUAAAACUUUGAUACUGAAGAGAACGUAUAGUAGCGGUAAUUUGAUUAUGACAAUAAUAUGAUAUCUAAUAGUUUAUAUAUUAGAGUGCAUAGAAAAAUAAGACAUAAUUAUCUUUUUGUUAAAAUAUUAAAAUUAUAAUAAGAAUUUUAAAAAUGUAUCAUAACUUAUUUAAUGAGCUACUUACCAAAAAAAGGAAAAAAAAAAAAAACUCAGGAACAAAACUCUACCUACUUUUAAAAGUUAUUAUCAAAAUGGAGAAAAUUAUAAAAUAAACAACUUUUAUGAAAUUUAUCAAAUAUAUUUUUUUUGUUAAAAAUUUUGAAAUAAGUAACUUAUUGAAUUUUAACCUCAAUCCCAAAUGAUGCCUAAAUGAAAACUCACUUAAUAUAAAAAAGGAAAAAAUCAAUUUUAAUUAUAAAAUAAAUUGUUUCUAAUGACCACAAUGACGACAACAACAACAAUAAUAACAACAACAACAAUAUCUUUAUGAUAUUUUGAUUUAUUUUUUAUAUUAUUCAUAUCCAAUAAUAACAAUGUCAUAAUUUAAUAAUUUAUUGAUUAAUUAAUAUUAAAUAAAUUAAUAGAUUUUCCACGAAUAAUGUAAUAGUACACAUUUGGUAAUAAAAGGAAUUGGCUACACAGCAUCAGUUUCUCAAGUACCUUUUAAUUUUCUCCAAGACUAUUGAAACUUGGCACGAUUUUGUACCUCAAGAAAUGACUAUUGAGAUAUGAUAAAAGCGAUCGAGAAAUCACUAAUACCCAGAAGUUUAAGCUACUUAGGCAAGAUAGAAAUGACUGCAGUCAUGCAGAUAUAGAAAAGCAAAUGCAGACAUUAAGUAACCGCCAUAUCUGAAAGCUAAGCUUGUUGGGAAGAGCCUAUCAGUUACAAUAUAGAAGUUCUACCAUAUGCCUUGUUCUUAAUCUACAGGCAUGAUGUAAAUGACUGCUAAAACAAAGCAUAGUUCUAACAGUAAUAUUGAAGUUCUAGCAUGUGCCUCAUACAUCAAGGAACUGGAUCGCCAGAAUUCAGCCCGUUUACUAGCUCGUUGAAGGGCUUCAGCAAGGCAUGGUGAGCAGGGGAUGAAGAAAAGUGGAAGCGAGAACCUCCACCACUCUUUAUGCUCUGCACUCUGACAUUUAUCAUUGCUCCAAACUUGCAAAAACACACCCCAUUCACAAGUUUAUUUUAACAUAUUAAAUAUUUAUUUUUACAGAAAACUAGAAAACGGGAUUUAUUGUUUUCAUUUUCAGAUAUUGGUUUCAAAACAAGCUGUAUAUUAAAUUCUUUCUCAAUUCUAAAAAAAUCACAUCAACAAACAAUAUUUUCACUCUUUAAAAGAAAUUUUAAAACCACCAUUGAAGACAAUGCCAAAAAUGCCUUUUUUUAGAGUUUUUAGAUGUUGGUUGAAAUUGACACAAGUGCUUAUCAAAGUUAUAACACACUAGAGGAAAGCCCUCAAACACUGUUUAAUGAAUAAGGAAGAGACUUGUAUGUUUCUUGUGUUAACUGGAUACUGUGUUAUGCUGGGUUUGCACAUCCUUUGUGUUGGACCAAAACCAGCAAGAAACCGAUUUUGAUCCCCUAAGAUCCACUCAAUCAAAUCUUUAACUUAAGAAUGUUUGAUAACCAAAAUGAACUUGAAGAUAAAACUGAUACGAUAAUCUGGAAACACAGAAAUCGAACCAACAAGAUGCUGAAACAAUCACACACACAAACACAAGAGGAUUAUAGUGGUUCAACCACAAUGUGGCCUACAUCUACUGUUAAAAGGAGAACAAGCUUUCACUGAUUUGGCUUAUCAAGAUACAAGUUUUUUUAGAGAAACUGUCACACUCUCGAUCUAGCCACAUAACAACUCACGAGGCUAAAUAUACAACAAAAGAUUGCUUCUAGAAAUAACCCCAGAAGCCAGCACAACGUCACUGGCAGAAAUUUCCCGCGCCUUUUAACAGCUUUACCAGCCGCUUAAAACAGCUACUGGACACGUGUUACAAUCUCGUCAAAAACGCUGCCUCCAUCUGCCGUUUUGAGCAAGUAAUGCACGUGUUACAUCACGUGCCCAACCUAUUCAACUAGCUGACUGAGUAGCCUUGUCAUACAGCGUUCUAAUUCGAGAUAAUCGACAUGUCACCCAUCUCUGGACUAAAAAACCGACACGUCGUACACGACCACAAACCCAGAUUUGUAGUUUAGUUCAACACGUUGGCUUUUCUUUCUUAUUGGGAAGGCAUUGGCAGAUAAGUGAUUCUAAACACACCAGAGAAAAUUAAAAGAAUUGUAAAAGUGAGUGGAAAUGAGUGAAAAACUAACAAUCAAUAUCCAUGAUUUACAGAGAGACUCCGUAGGCUUGAACACUGACUUAAAACUAUGUUUCCCAGCAUGAACUCUUUGAUAAGUAAAAUAAGUGUAAAUUUCACUCAUUUUUCUUUUCUUUUCGACAUAUGAAAAAAGAAAAUAAAUAGAUGAAUAAAAGAGCGUUCUUACGUACAUGUAGUUUAGCAUCUUGAUUCAACUACUUGGAACUCUUAAAGAGGCACAACAACCUUUCGAAAGAAUUGUGUUACCUGCAUUUUCUUUUAUAUGCAGAAAGUUAUAUUUUUUAUGUCAAAAUUAGUCUCCCCCCCCCCCCAAAGGAGAAAGAUCAGUUGAUAAGGCCUUGACAUACCUCUCAAAUAGACGCAUGCAAUAAUUUGAACUCUCCUCUAUAGAGAACAGAUCGACAAAUGGAAUGUGUGCUAUUUUAUGCCAAUUUUCACCAAUUUUCUUCUUGCAUCGCUUUUAUAAUUCAGGAUAACCUCGGAGGUUCAAAAAUAGAUUGAUAAGAUUCUUGGUGCUUGCAGGAAGACAUCGGAAAGUAAUUUUAUUAAUUGAUGGUUUACAUAAAGAAACUGAAGAUUCAAAACAAGACUUCAAUUCUAAGUUAUUGAGUUGAACACCAUCAAAAGCAGAAUUGAUAUAACAACAUGACAACAUAAAUAGUGGUGUAGGAGAAGUAGUAGAGGAAGGAAUACUGUAAGAUAAGAAAGAAGAUGGUGAUGAUGAUGAUGGCGAAGAUUUGAGUAACAGCCUGUAUAAUCCUUUCUCAGCAAGACCUUGUAGAAGUACCUGCCUCUUUAGAGAAUACUUUACAUAGCAGAUGUUACCAACAAAUUCAACAUAUAAGUGAUUAUCAGAUGUAAGUUUAGAAAUGCUCAGCAAGUUCUUUGUAAUGGAAGGAACAAGUAGAAUAUCUUUAAGUGCUAUUUGUGGGUGAUGGUGUUUAGUAUUUGAACUUUUAAAAGUAAGGAAUGCAUCACCAAUGUGUGUUAUAGGCAAACCUUGGCCAUUUCCAAUGAUAAGUUGAUCAGAACCUCUCAAUUCUUCUCUAAUGUUCAUAUUAGCUACGUUAUUAGUCAAGUGAUGUGUUGCUCCACUAUCAAGGUACCACCCUUGAUCAGCUGGUCCUUCAAAAUUUGCAAUAUAAGCAACUCCAAAUAUAGAGAAUGUGUCAAGUAUAUAGUAUGGAUUCAUAUCAGAUGGCUGAUAUGAAGAUUAAUUCAUAGCAUGAGAGUUAGCAAUAUAAGGCCCAAAUUCAGUAAAUGGUUCAAAGUUGGUCAUAUAAGCAGCCUUAGAUCCUCUAACUCUACCAAAAGACCUUACUGGAGCUAUAUAAUUUUUAGUAUACCUAUGCCAACAUGCAUCCGCAGUGUGACUAGAUUUAUGGCAAAUUUGGCAAAUAAGAGCAUUGUCACUAGAUUCAUCAGUAAAUGAGUCAUGAGACAUAUUGAAGACAGAUUUGUUGUGUGAUGAUGCCUUGUGAAUUGGCAUUUGUGGUGAAUAUCCUCUAGCAAGGUUAUAACUACCAUUAUCAUUGGGAAAUCCUUUGGAAUACGCAUGAAAGAACAUUCCUCUUCCACCAUAGUGAUUCAUGUUUCCAACAUUAAAAUGUCCAUGAUAUCUACUACAUCCAUAACCUCUUCUUCUGCCACUAUCCCUUCCUAGUGAAUAGUUUGAAUUAACCAUUCCAUAAUUCGCAUUAAACACAUACUUAGCUAUCUGAUUAUGUUCCAAUCUAGCCUCAUGUGUUAAGAGCAAAGCAUAAGCAUCAUCAUAUGACAUUAUAUCAGCAGUGAUGAUAGAUGCAAGAUCUAAGUAACUAGUCCCAAUCCGUCUAACACUUGCAUCAACAAAUCUCUUUCUGAUAAAGGACUACCAACACAAGUAAGUUUAUCAGCAAGAAUUUUAACUUUCAAACAAUAUUCUUCAACAGUCAUGGAUUCUUUUCUAAGUACACUCAUUUUAUAUCGAAGCUGCAUAACCUUGGCCUCAGAUUGAGUACCAAAAUGUUUUUCAAUAGAUUUCCACACAUCAUAAGAUCUAUCACAAUUAAGUACGGAGCUCAAAAUACCUUCACUUAUAGUUGACAGAAACCAGCCAAGGAGAGUUUGAUCUUUAGCUUGCCAAUUAACAUAAGCUGGAUUAAUAAUUUUCUGCACCGAUCCAUCAUCUGCUGUGUGAUUAAUAGUUUGAUCUUCAUUUUGAGUGUAUCUUGAAUCAUCGUCUCGAACAAAGUCUUGAAUAAGAGAUCUCCAGUAUAAUUCAUUGAAUAUCUCAUUACCAAAAUCUUCAACUUCAAGAGUUCCCUUGGAUGAAAAAAACCAUUAGCCAUCCAAAGAUGAAUUAGACGCUCUUUCUUAAUUUUAGAAUGUUUAGGAAAUACAGCACAAAAAGCAAAACAUUGUUUCAAUUCCGCUGGUAAGUUGGAAUAGCUCAAUCGUAAGACAGGCAAAAUGGAAAUUUUCUCCUGGGGUAAGUUCCAUAGUUUACUGUCUUUUACAUGUAGCCACUCGUUUUAAUCGCUUUUAAAGCGCAUCAGGUUCCUAAAGUCUUUGCAGCUAGCGAGACACCAUUACACUUCCUCACUAUUUCCUUGGCGAUUGCUAAAAUGUCAUGUUUGCUUAUGCCUAAAGAUUAUGAUCAAUGGAUUUGUUGAUAUGAUCAUCAAAAUCAACUGAAUUUUAUUAGAAGUUGAAAACCAAAAUCAGCUGGAUUUUAUGACAAUCUAAUAAAACAUUCAAUUUCUAGUGGGAAUUUAUUAUAUGGAUGUUUAUUUUAUUGGUUUAUCAAAAGGGAGACUUCAAAUAAAGAGAAGAGAGGUUGAAUGUGAAAUUAAGAUGCACGGUUGGUGUAAUGACAAAAAUUUUAAUUUUUUUAUUCAAUAAUUUUAUCACCUGACCUUAAUUUUUAUUCGAAUUAAGGGUGUACAUUUUCAAACAUACAAAGCUUCACACUUAAAAUAUAUUGAUAUCAAAAAAUUUCAUUUUAAUUAUAUAUCUUGCUUCACGUUCUAUCUUUCAUUGUUGAAUCGUUUAUAUGAACAUACAUGGUUAAUAAUUAAUAUUAAUGGAGACAAAUAGGCAGCACAUUUUUUACUGAUUCCACAAAAUAGGCACCACUUUUUUUUUUGAUAUUAGUCACGAGGUAUUUUGGGGAGGGCCCCAACUGUGGGAGGCACCACUUUAUUUAUUGAUUUCACAUUACGGAAAUAAUAUUUAUUAAUGUGAGACACUGACACCAACUAGCAGAUGACAUUAUUGCAAAUUCCAUUAUUCCCAUGACAUAAUAUAUUCACAUAUAGGUAGAAUUCGAAGAUGAAACACAAUAGGUGUGUGAAUUUAUAACUAAAUUAAUUACUUGUUAAUAGAGAGUAGUCCAUCCAGCUUAUUGGCUGACUCUUGCACCUUGAAAUGAUAAAUUUGAAGGUUCUCAACAUCAAGCUUCUUCAAAUUGCUGUGCAAUCUAGAAGUAAAAUAUUUUCCCCAAUUGUAUGCUCUGUAUUUAGCAGGGUUUUGCUCAUUUAUAAGCUCAUCUAAUGGCUUCAUAAUUGUGUAAUGAGAUGGGUUGAAUAAAAUUGGAAUUGAAAGCCUUUCCUUCUCAGAAUUCACCACAACCCUAUGCUCCACAGUCUCAUAAGCAUCAUUGCUCCAUACCUGCACAAUUACAUAGAUUUUAUGGAGACCAAAAAAGCAUAUACAUAGAUUUAAUGAAACCGAUAUUGUAUAUGAAUAUAUUUUAUUGAGACCAAAAAAGCAUAUACUGAACACGAAAAUUUGAUUUUGAUACCAUAUUAAUAAUUAUUAAACGUUUGACCAAAAAGCUUAAACUAGCUAUUACCUGAAUACAAUCACCGAUAUUUAUGAUAUAAGAAUUCGGGAUGGGUUUGACGCGAGCCCAUUCUCCGUCUGAUUUUUUCUUUACCUCAAGACCUCCGACAUCAUCUUGGGCAAGGAUGGUAAGGGCACCGCUGUCCUUGUGUCGACCCAAGCCGAGAGUUAGGUGGGGAGCGGGGCACGGUGGGUAGUGAUUAAGUCUAGCAAAGGUGGUUUGAUCUUUGAAGAAGCCAUUGAACCUGUUUGCUGGUAGUCCCAGGCUCAGGGCUACGAGUUCUAUCAACUUGUAAGCAAGUUUUUCCACUUCUUUAGCAUAUUCUUCAAAUGCCUCUCUGUCAAGCAUAAGCCAAAAGUAAACAAAUAGAUACUAUAAUUGCAACAUUUUCAAUUUUGCAUUAAUCAGAAUAUGCUUGGCUCCAAAAUACUAUUACAAGCUUUCAAAUUGACCGACAACAAAUUAAAAUUAUUUGGUGGUAUUUAAUACGACUCAUCUGCUUAUGGCUGUUUAUUUUGUCAAUAAAUACCUCUUAUGGACUAUAUUGUGAGUUUGUGACUACCCUCCAACCAUGAGAAAAUUCGGGUUACCAAUUUAUAUUUCUCGCUCUCAAGAUUAUUAAUUUCGAUAGCACGAAAUUAAAAUGCCCAUUAGAUGCUUUAAAAAGUAAAAAAUCUCGCUCAAUUGACUUGUACAUUAUUAAAGGAUCAAAAUUCUCUUUUAAUCCGAGUUCUCCUCAAAUUAUAGUUAAGUACGAAAAUUUCACCAUCAAAAUGUAAGAAUUGAACUUUACCUUAAUUCAGGAGGAUAAUCAGGCCAUUGACUGUACGUUUCAGCAACUUCCUUGUCCUCAGGUUCAGGUGAAGCUGGCAUCAAACAAGGGCUCUCCACGACAAAAUCAAACACUUCUUUCCAAUCUCUAACAUUUUUGGUAUGCUCGGUGUCAUAAUACCCCACCAACUUCUUCUCAUCUCUCCUCACCUUUCUCUUCUCCUCCAACGGCUGCUCG